rnacentral:lncRNA from 1 species
GUGGUUUGAUGCCUUGAAGGAUGUAGUGUAAUCCCCACUGCAUACCUUGAACACACAUUUCGAUCGAGGAGAUCUUCGAAAGUCUGUCUUUGCAGUCGAGACUUAGAGUGCGCCAUCGGUUGAUGUAGUCCAUGACUGGCUCAUCUUUCCAUUGCUUCGUACUUGUCAGCUCCAACAUGCUUACAGUGCGGCGGGUGCUGUAGAAGCGAUUAAGG